rnacentral:sRNA from 1 species
UCCGAUCACGAGGUGGGCCCCCUGAGG